GCAGGGCAUGGUGGCGCAAGCUUGUAGUCCCACCUACUCAGGAGGCUGAGGCUGGAGGAUCGCUUGAGCCCAGGAGUUGGAGUGUUCAGUGAGCUACGAUUGGGCCACUGUACUCCAGCCUGGGCAACAGAGUGAGACCCUGUCUCAA
ensembl:misc_RNA Metazoa_SRP Metazoan signal recognition particle RNA